CUUAGGUUAUGGGGACAAGGAAGUCACCGGUGAUGAAGGUUUAGAAUCCCGUGAUAAGCGAAGCGAGGAAAUCAYAGGAGAUGAUGGUGCUGAAUCUGUAAUAAUUGGAGAAGCAGGAGCAGUACGAGGAAUGGAAUAGGGCUCAACKAUAGUGAUAGGAAUGUCGGGAAAAGUAGAGRUAACACAUCCUCCACUAAAAAGGUCGGGGAUGAUGGCCACACGCAGCAGGGACGAGACUCACUAAAACUCAUACCGUGAGAAAUAGUCACCCGAUGACCAACCUGAUCCCAACAACAAUAUCUCUUAUGGUCAUUGUUGUAUCCUAUGAACACUCAACAUACUAAGUAGUAAGUUUGGUACAUUGACGAGAGGCAGUAAGGGCACAUCAAACACAAA
rnacentral:lncRNA from 1 species